GGCUUGUUUAUGCCUGACCAGAACGUAAUGGCUGUGAUACACAGAGUUACCAGGUUGAGGCACUAAAGAAAAUGUUUUCUCACAGA
rnacentral:lncRNA from 1 species